UGGACCAAUGAUGACUGUUGGUGGAGUAUGAGUCACGGAUGAUGAAUAUGUUUCUGAAACUCUGAGGUCCAA
ensembl:snoRNA